rnacentral:lncRNA from 1 species
CCUCAGGCCCCUACUCCACCACAACCACAUAUAUAUAGUGGUUCCUCCUUUUAAAAGUUGUGAGCUUACACCGCGGGACUUAGAGGUACCCAGCGUCACGGCUUCAUUGCUCCAGAACACCACAAGGGGGAGCUAGAGCACUCAUUAUGCAUUUGGGUCACAAGGUUUUUAUAUGACCAAUCAUAUCGAGUGGUUCCAUUGACAAAUUUGACACGAGCCCUCCGUCCCUGGUGACUUUCUUCAGCAAAGAUGGCUGACAAAACAUUACUGGGAAGCAAAUGGACUCCUGAGAAAACCAGCAAACCAGGCUGUCGUCUUGGGAAACAGUGGAUGUAAAGAAUCUAGCUAGCUAAAGCAUUUACUGCAAAUUGAAUGUACAAUUGUGUAAGCUUGCCUUGCCGUGCAAUGCAGCUGAAGUAACAUAGCUGGCUAACUAUUUACUUGCUUAUUGUGUAGUGGAGGAUAAAAAUAACUGUAUGCCUAUGGAUGUGUAGCUAGCUAGCAAUCUAUGAACCUUAGCUAUCAUAGCUGUUGUAUCAACUUCACGUUUGAAUGGCAUUAAUGAAGCCUAUGGAUUGAGUAGAAUAUAAUAACUUUACUGUGCCAAGGAUGCAAGUCCUAUAUACUUGUACUGUAGUUAUUACCAAGCAUGAGAUCAUCACAUUGUAGCCUGUACAUUGAAUAUAUACACUGAUCAUGUACCCCUCCUUGGCAAAUAAUGUGUGGUUCAGGUAUGAAUCUCUGUGAGACAUUCUUUUUCAGUCAUAUCCAAUACCAGGUGUAUCAAACUCCAUUCUUUGAAUGAUGCUGUGUCUGCAUGUAUGUAUUACAAUUAUACACUUCAACAGUGUUUACUGCUCCUGCUCCUGAGACAUCAAUGAUUACACAUUGCAACCCUGCAAUAGAUUAGAAACACGAGUUAUGUAAAGGCUGAUUUGUAAUUCAUAUAUACAGAAAAAAAACCUAUGGAUAUCUAACUCCCUUCAUCUGCAUUAAUCUGAGAACACAGGAUAGUAUUUCAAUGAGAUCCUUAAUUUCAACCAGUGGAGAAUGUGAAAUGCUUUAUUGAAAGAAGUUCAUUAUCCAGGUGUUAUAAAUACAUAAUACAUGCAUUAUAAUUAUGAUAAUUGUAAUAUUAUAUUAUAAAUACAAGUUUAAUCUGUACUUCAAUGCACAUAUGGUGUGCAUUAUAAAACGAGGAAGAAAGACGAGGUGGGGAGAGAGGU